UAGGAUAGAGGCCUACCAUGGUGGUAACGGGUAACGGGGUGUUAGGGCACGACACCGGAGAGGGAGCCUGAGAAACGGCUACCACAUCCAAGGAUGGCAGCAGGCGCGCAAAUUACCCAAUCCCGACACGGGGAGGUAGUGACAAUAAAUAACAAUACGGGGUUCUUUCGGAUCUCGUAAUUGGAAUGAGUACAAUUUAAAUCUCUUAACGAGGAACAAUUGGAGGGCAAGUCUGGUGCCAGCAGCCGCGGUAAUUCCAGCUCCAAUAGCGUAUAUUAAAGUUGUUGCAGUUAAAAAGCUCGUAGUUGAAUUUCGGGGUUAGUAGGUUGGUCAUGCCUCUGGUAUGUACUGGUCUCACUGAUUCCUCCUUCCUGAUGAACCGUAAUGCCAUUAAUUUGGUGUUGCGGGGAAUUUGGACUGUUACUUUGAAAAAAUUAGAGUGUUUAAAGCAAGCUAACGCUUGAAUACAUUAGCAUGGAAUAAUGAAAUAGGACGUUCGAUCUUAUUUUGUUGGUUUCUAGGAUUGACGUAAUGAUUAAUAGGGAUAGUUGGGGGCAUUAGUAUUCAAUUGUCAGAGGUGAAAUUCUUGGAUUUAUUGAAGACUAACUACUGCGAAAGCAUUUGCCAAGGAUGUUUUCAUUAAUCAAGAACGAAAGUUAGGGGAUCGAAGACGAUCAGAUACCGUCGUAGUCUUAACCAUAAACUAUGCCGACUAGGGAUCGGA
rnacentral:rRNA from 1 species